CUGCGUCUCUCCAACCCGGACAACUCGCAACUUGUUGCAAUGGUCAGUUCGACUGUUAGAGACGCUAAAUAAGAAAAUUGGCGGAUUCGCUAACGUCGCGUCCCAUGACCGGAGUUUGAAAGUAGGCCGCUGAACAAUU
rnacentral:snoRNA from 15 species